CACGGAUGAAAUUCAAGUUUCUGCUAAAAAUAGAAGUAUCCUUGGGUCAGGAAGGGAACAAGUGGAGGAAGAUAAGCAUCCUGAAACAAGGGGAGAAUUUUGCAUGGCCUUUAUCUAGAUGGUCUUGAUUAGUGGCGAAUGUACUAGAAUCUGUGCCUGCAGUUUGUGGUGAAGGUGCUGGAUGUGGAGUUGGUUUGUGAGGCCCUGCAGGUGGCCGUAACCUUUGGCCUGGGGCAGCUGCAGGAGCGCUGCGUGGCUUUCAUAGAGGCCCACAGCCAGGUACUGCUCCCUUUAUACUCCUCACCCUACGCACCGCAUUGUGCUCCUCCCUGACCCAUUUGCUGGCUCGCAGGAGGCCCUCCGGACCCGAGGCUUCCUGGAGCUGUCGGCGGCAGCGCUGCUGCCCCUGCUCCGCAGCGACAAGCUCUGCGUGGACGAGGCUGAACUGGUCCGCGCGGCCCGAAGCUGGGCGCGCGUGGGCGCGGCGGUGCUGGAGCGGCCGGUGGCCGAGGUGGCGGCCCCGGUGGUGAAAGAGCUGAGACUAGCCUUGCUGGCCCCGGCGGAGCUGAGCGCCCUGGAGGAGCAGAACCGGCAGGAACCACUUAUCCCGGUGGAGCAGAUUGUGGAGGCGUGGAAAUGCCAUGCCCUGCGGAGAGGGGAUGAGGCCCGGGGCGCCCCGUGUCGCCGCCGGAGAGGCACCCUGCCCCGGGAGCAUCAUCGCUUUCUGGACCUGUCCUUCAAAUGAUCCAACGCCGGGACUCGCAGAGAGCCCUGGACCCGCCCAUCUGAGCCUGCUCCAAACUACAGCUCCCGAAGUGCUCGGCGUUCAGAGUGGGCUUCCGUUCCCAGCGUGCCCAGUGAGCUGGCCGCCGGAAGAACCGUUGUCUGCCACGCGCAGCCCCUUGUGCGGGAUCAAGCCCGUGUGGGCGAGGUGGGGU
rnacentral:sRNA from 1 species